rnacentral:rRNA from 1 species
AACGAACGCUGGCGGCGUGGAUUAGGCAUGCAAGUCGCACGAGAAAGUUCCUUCGGGGACGAGUACAGUGGCGAAAGGGUGAGUAAUGCGUAGAUAACCUACCCUUGAGAUCGGGAUAACAGUUCGAAAGGGCUGCUAAUACCGGAUGGCGCGCGAGUGACCUCGGUCGCUCGAGCUAAAUGGUGGGGACCUUCGGGCCUGCCGCUCAAGGAGGGGUCUACGUCCUAUUAGCUUGUUGGUGGGGUAACGGCCCACCAAGGUGACGAUGGGUAGCCGGCCUGAGAGGGUGUCCGGCCACACUGGGACUGAGACACUGCCCAGACUCCUACGGGAGGCUGCAGUCGAGAAUCUUCCGCAAUGGGCGAAAGCCUGACGGAGCGACGCCGCGUGGACGAUGAAGGCCUUCGGGUUGUAAAGUCCUUUCGCGCAGGAGGAAUUGUGGGGUGUUAAUACCAUCUCAUUUGACGUUACUGUGUAAAGAAGCUCCGGCUAACUUCGUGCCAGCAGCC